UAACUUUCAACAACGGAUCUCUUGGCUCUCGCAUCGAUGAAGAACGCAGCGAAAUGCGAUACGUAAUGUGAAUUGCAGAAUUCAGUGAAUCAUCGAAUCUUUGAACGCACCUUGCGCCCCUUGGCAUUCCGAGGGGCACACCCGUUUG
rnacentral:rRNA from 2 species